rnacentral:rRNA from 1 species
UACAGAGGGGGCAAGCGUUGUUCGGAAUUACUGGGCGUAAAGGGCGCGUAGGCGGCCUGUUAAGUCGAACGUGAAAUCCCGGGGCUCAACCCCGGGCCUGCAGUCGAUACGGGCAGACUAGAGUGCGGUAGGGGAGACUGGAAUUCCUGGUGUAGCGGUGAAAUGCGCAGAUAUCAGGAGGAACACCGGUGGACGAAGGCGGGUCUCUGGGCCGUAACUGACGCUGAGGAGCGAAAGCGUGGGGAGCAAACAGG